rnacentral:lncRNA from 1 species
GCAAUAACAUAAUGCUGGGAGAAAUUGAAAUUAAUGAGCUAAGGAACAAAGCCACAUUUACAAAAUAUUUUCAGCCCAGUCUUCUGCUAAGAUACCCUCAGAUGUUCAUUUCAGAACUGCUUUCCCAGAAAAAAGCAGCAGCCAAAUAUUUUAACUCAUUAGAUAUACUUGAACUCUUCACUGCAGUAUUGUGCUGUUUCAUAUGUGCCAGACUCCAAAUGGCUCCAUGUGGAUGCAAAGUAUGUCCACACAAAGGUCAUUUGCAGGAUUAGACCAAAGAGUUGCAAGGCAGGCAAGGGAAAGCAGUCCAAGUUAGUUUAAUUCUCAAGGCAGUCUUUAGGGCCUAAGCAAAAUACAAAACAAACUCUGAGCACAGUAAUGCAAAGCAUUUUCCCCUGAUGUCUAGGGUCAGGGAUUAAUAUUUUUGAUAUAUUAAGAGUGUUAUUUCCUUUUGAUCAGGUGGGGAUGGACUAUUAGCUUUCAGGUCUACAUGACUACCUGAGGUGAAGGCCACAAGUAUUUUACAAUAUUUUUGAAGGUAAUUAGCCUGAGUAACUGGAUCUGAUUAAUAUAAAAAAAGACAUUCAAAGGGAAAACCCUCCUCCUUGAUAUACAGAUUCCUGUUUGCUCUUCUCAUUCCCUGUGGGACCAGCUGCGGGAGCAACAGGUUCUAUUCCAUUUGCAAUGUGUCAGGCUGCUCUUCUGGAGACAUGGUCUAAGUUUUAGAGAAAUCUUGAUGAAAGCCAGAGAAAAAGCGAAGAUUUGCAGCAGUCAUAAUUUGCCAAACUUCUCUAUACACUAAAACUUGUUUUGUGUGCUGCUCAUAGCUUCUAUGUUUAUUUAAUCUGCUUUUCCUUAUUUAUUGUUUUCUUUGAUAAAACAACAGUUAUUAAAACACUGGCAGCUCAAUAAUUUUCUUUAAAAUUAGUUAUGUUGCCUUUUGAACUGUGUAAUACUUCCAAAGCACAAAAGAGUUAAAGAAAAAUAAACCGAUUACUGCAACUUUCUGCAUUUCAAAACAGAGGUAAAUAACAUCUGUGCAGAGCUCCAGUCCCUUCCAAUAAUUAGCUGCUUUAGCGAAGGGGGUGAACCACUUGGAACCACUGCAGCAGUCAUCUUUUGGCUUUUCCUCUUUCAAGAUGUGUUUUCUGACUCCAGCUCAGAGGAUUAUGUUCUUCUUGCUCAUGACAAUACUGUUCUUACAAAAAUGAGAGAUGAGAGCAGAGAGUGAGGCACAUUGCUUGGAUCACUGGGAAAGGAUGGUCCAUGUUAGGGCUGCCUGGAGAUGGCUACCUCAAACAGCUCCCAGAUUUAGCUGCAUCUGAAGCUAAAUGGUUAUUUCACAGACUGCUGGACUAAUGCAAUAGUGCCCCACCCCCUUCCUUGACAUGCUGCUCUGCAUUGAGAGAGGGUUUAGGGAAUGACUGACCCAGCUGGAGGCGAUGCCAGCUAUGAGAGACUGGUACUUCUGAGUGAUGGCACUGUGCUGAGCACCUUAUUUUUGUCAAAUGUGUCACUUGGUGCAGAGUAGACUGGCAGGGUGCUUUAAACCAUGACAGGGUUCACCUGCCAUUCUUCAACCAGGGUCCGCUUAGUAGUCAAACAUAUUGGUUCUUCUCUGAUAAAUGCCAAAGCUUUGUAAUCUGGGGUCUAGUCUGUUGUAGUCUUUGCUCAUUCUACAUUGGCUUCCUACAAGCCUUUCCAGUUUCUGCUCAUGCAGUUUCCAUUGAUUAUACAUAAGAUGCCUGCAGAAUCUAAAUGUUCCUUAGCGUAUUGGCUGGAAAAGCUUUAAUUAAAUGGAUCUCAUACUCUCUUCUUUUUAAUGAAAUGACUUCUUUUGGUUCCAAUUAAAAAAAAUAUUAAUGUCUUAUUCACCUUCAGUUUAGUUCAAUGUGAAGACAAGAAUGAGGGGCUCUUGUUGCAGAUACAGGUGUUCCUGUACAGCCAUUAUUGUUAAUUCCAGGAGAAAGCAAAUCCUUACAAAUCUGGCUGCAAUAGAACUCCCUCCCUGGGCAAACAGAGAGCUAAAUAACACAAACCUUUAAUAUCCUGAGGCAAGGGAAAUUUUCUGUUUGCCUUGUGCUCUCCAAAUGCAAUAGACACUGAGGAUGAUAUUCAUGACACCUGAUUUUACCCAUCUAUAAAUUAUUCAUUUGAUCUGAGCUAAUCAGCUAUGCUCCCUCAAUAGUCAAUGAAAGACAAAGAAGCUGGCCAGGCAAGUUUGUAUCACACGUAAGAUGGCUUGCACCAACCUCUCAGGGCUCUUAUUUCUCUCCAGUGACUUCUGGGAAAGCCCAGACUACUGCAACUGCAAUGACAUAUUAGCCCACUUUCUUUUUGUCCACCCUCAUAUUGGGAGAAUUACAGAAAAAGUAACAAUUUAUUCUUGUGUAUACAAGACAUCCCUUUGAUGGCUGGCCAGGGACAGCUGUGCAGUUCUGCUCUGUAUAACUGUAUACAUAAAAGUAUUAAUUAUUUCUAUAUUAAGAAAUAAAUAUGACAUGAGGUAACAGCAAGGCUUUCAUCCAAGUGUGUAGGGGGAUUUUUCUCUUGGUAACAUAACAUUGCUGUUAACCAAGUAUAUUAACUGAGACAUUUCAAUUAUGUUAAUUAGUUAUUUUCUAAUUCUUUAGCUUUAUAGAUUGUCAUGCCAUUUUGUGGGGUGAGAACAUGUGUGACUGUGCUGCAGGAUCUGUAUUACUAGAAGUUUGUCUCUAGUAAGGAAGAAUUUUUUACUCUGAGCAAGGUGCCAGGCCUUGUAUUUUGAAAGCUUCUGUAAAAGAAAAUAUUGAUUUUCAAUUUAGUUUCAUUUAUCAGGUUGAAAAAUUUAGCAGUCCAACUGUCACAAACUAUAUCAAGAAUGGUUAUGACCCUGGAAACAAUAUACCUAGUACAUGCAAUUUUUUUUAAUAUAGAAAUUUGGUCCAUUUAAUCAUAAUAGAAAAUGGAGCAGUGUGUCCCCUAUCACAGGAAAUUAUUAGAAGAUCUGUUUCACAACUGACUUGUGUGUAAGUCCAGAGAAAAAUAAAAUAUUGAAACAGGAUAUAAGUGACCUCUCUUGAGGUGAAGAAACAUUAUAAGCUAUGUGCCAAACGCAUUAAAACUAAAUUCAAAGUACACAUUCUCAUGAGGGCUGGGGUUUUUUUUAUUAAUUGUAUAUCUGUAUGUCAGCAUCACAGAAAGACCUUCUGUACAGAUAUUCUUUAAACUCCUUCUGUAGGAAGGAGCGCUUAAGUCCUUAUCUUGUUCACCUGGACAAGACAGUGAUUGGAGACGUGUUAUUUCAUGGAACUGGGAUUGAGAAUGAAGGCCACCCUACAGCAGGAGGCUUUUCAGACGUGUGUGACUUGAACUGAGACCACUGCAGUUAUUCUUCUGAUGCUGCCAGCAAACAGUGUGAAACAAUAACUGUUAUCCACGCGCUGCCACAUUUAUCACAGCCUGGAUGUUAAUUUAGAAAGCAAAUACAACUCAGGGCUUUAACUGUAUGUCUGUCUUAAGGCUCAGUUUAUGGGAAGGCAUGUCAAAGGUGCUGUUGACUACAAUUAUGAAUUAGGAAAGAAGUUUUGGGAAGGAGAUCAAAAAUAAACUUAGUUUUGUGAGCGUUAGCACUGUAGAAUCUAUGACUCAGGCAUCCACUGAAAACAUGCAAAAAGCAUUUGGCAGCAAGAUGGUCCUUCAGGAGAAACCAUAGUAUUUCUGAAAUACCAUAGUAUUUCUGAAGGUGCCAGAACACAUACGUAGCUGGGUAUGGCCCCCGCAGAUCUCCUGGUAGCAGUUCCUGCGAAGUGUUCCAAAGCCUGUUCAUCUCCCACUGUAUCUUCUCAUUUAUUGACUUGCCUUUGGAGUCAAGAAACAGCAUCCCACGAGUUCCUGAGUACCCAAAUUGCAGUUACCCACUCUCGUUAUAAAACCCUCUCGUUCUCCUGUGACAGCUGUUGGAGCAGAGCAGUGCUGGGGUGGGUCCUGCAGCCCACUGCUCCUGGAAAGUGUAGGAAGGCAGGAUCACACUGGAAGAAGAUCUGCACAGGAUAUUGAUUAUUAUUUCCAACAUAGAGAUAUUUGAAAUAAUUAAUAUGCUAUAGAAUAUACUGUGUGCUUUCCUUCUUUGUUGUAAGAAAACCUUUUGUCAUCUAUGAGGCUUAUAUCAAAAUGUGUCUCUGUGACAGGACCUGUAAGCCCCAGUUUGUAUUUUUUUUUAAGACCCUUCAUCUUGAUUAGAAAGAUUUCCAGUAUUAUAACUAUGUCAACAAAGUCAAACUAACUCAGAAGCCAUCUCACACACUACUGUGUUAGCCCGGAGGCAGGUCGGACCUCAUUACUCUUUUCAUGAAGCUAUAGUGUUAUGAUCACUAUUAUAAAGACCUGAGGGCCUUUGGGAUAUUAGUCACAUGUUAGAUCUCCUCCCCUAUGUUCCUUGUGAAUUUCAGAGUUGUUAAUAAUUUUCCUUUUAUGUAGAUAAAUCCCGUCCAAUGUAGGAGCCAAUUUCUAGUCACCUAAAUGGUCAUACACACACAUACAACCCAUAAUUGCAGAAUUUGUAUUCGGUGAGCGACACUCAUAAUGUUUAUUUUACCGGGUACAUAGGUGGAUGGAACUACACAGCUCCAUACUUAUUUCAGGUUAAAACUAUGCUAGUGUUCAGCACUGAACCAGAAUAUCUUUUCCUGGUUUACCUCCAAAGUAGUUCUGUUAUGAAGAUCUAUUCCUAAACUAGCACAUAGAUGUCACUUAGAGACAGGUUGUAAUGGGAAACAUUGGCUUUUUGGCUAGAUUAGUGCAUUUAAAUGGAUCAAUGAUGUGAUGCAGCUGUAGGGUGGAGGCUCUUUAAAAGCUUCACUUCUCAGUGCCAAAUAUAAUGAAAUACGA